rnacentral:rRNA from 1 species
UACGUAGGUGGCAAGCGUUGUCCGGAUUUACUGGGCGUAAAGGGCGUGCAGGCGGUUUGUUAAGUCUAGGGUGAAAGCUCCCGGCUCAACUGGGAGAGGUCCUUGGAUACUGGCAGACUUGAGGAGAGUAGAGGAGAGUGGAAUUCCCGGUGUAGUGGUGAUAUGCGUAGAUAUCGGGAGGAACACCAGUGGCGAAGGCGGAUCUCUGGGCUCUACCUGACGCUGAGACGCGAAAGCGUGGGGAGCGAACCGG